rnacentral:rRNA from 1 species
CAUGUAGGCGGUUUAUUAUGUGGAAAUAAAAGUCUAAAGAACAACUUUACAUAAUUAUUUUUCAAACAAAUAAACUAAGAGUAUAAUAGAAGUAUGUUGCACUUUCAGUGGAGAGGUAAAAUGCGUAAAUAUUGUAGAGACAAUCAAUAGGUGAAAACGACUAACUAUAUUAUUACUGACGCUGAAAUGCAAAAGCAUGGGUAUCAAACAA